UCGAUGCAAACAAAGCAUUUCAACUGGAUUCUUAUAAUGCAUGUUGUUCAAUCUGUGGAUAUCUGAAAACGCAUGAGAAUUGCAUCAUAUUUUAUGUACAUUUAUCAUUACGUAGGACAAAAAAAACAAACUUGCAUUGAAAAGAAUCUGGUUGAAACCUAAACAUAGUAUAAGUUCAGUUUUAUUUCAGUCCAGUUUUAUGGAAACCCUUUAAAACAAGCCUUCAUCAAAAUCUCUUCUGCAGUUGACAUCUGUGGGGUUUGCCUGGGAAGAGCGCCCUCUAUGGCAGCACAGUGUGGCUGAGGUCAUUAUGUCACCUUCCUCCCAUGUCUAUAUGCUCCCAUCGCACGGCUCGAUGACACGGGGCCUGGAAUAUGGCUGGCCGCAACUGAACCCCAGGCGGGAAGUCCGUUUGGGGAUGGAGGAAGAUGGAGGAUGCUGUGGUUCUGCAUCUCUGGUAACAGCCAUGGACACGGUAGACUCUAGCAGAAUUUAAUACAUGCUUCAGGAUGAGCGCUUUUUUCAGAACCGUUCAAGCCCAAUACAUUUCAAUCUGUAACAAGCUUGAUCUGGUUUCUAGAAAGCUGCUCGUCGUAUUAAAAUGCAGCCAUAUGCAGGUUAAAGUCUUUUUUUUUUUUUUUAUUCAGGUCCAUGUUUUUAAAAUGUAUGAUUUAAAAAUCUGUAUUGUUUCAUAGAGCUUCAUUUUCCCAACAAAGAGAUGUUUACAGAAUUCUUUAUUACAAUAAAACACAAAUGAACCCA